rnacentral:misc_RNA from 1 species
AACGCACAUUGCGCUUCUGGGUAUUCCCGGAAGCAUGCCCGUUUGAGAAUCAGUGAAAACAUCAGGCUCCCAGCACCUUAACCGGUGGGGGGAAACCUGGACUUGGGUCCAUUUGUUCAAGGUGGAAAACGGAACAAUGACCUAAAAUUCAAUGUCCGCGGUUCCGCCGUAUGUGGAAGCGUUGGCCUGAGUGCUGGAACUGAACCUUUUGGUUUUUCUCUGUACCACUCGUGGCUUGCUUCUAACGCGUCGUGCAUGCCGUGUUAAGAAUCAUAACUGAUUGUACGCUCGGAUUGUGGCCGUCAGGUCGCAGUCCUUGUUAACUUGGUCUCAAAUCGGGUAGGAAAACCCGCUGAACUUAA